rnacentral:tRNA from 1 species
GCCUGCUUGGCUCAGUUGGCAGAGCGUCGCUCUCGUAAAGCGAAGGCCGCAGGUUCGAUUCCUGCAGUAGGCA